rnacentral:tRNA from 1 species
AGGGAUUUAGGUUAGUAUUAGACCAAGGGCCUUCAAAGCCCUAAGCAAAAGUGAAAGCCUCUUAAUCCCUG